AGCAGUCGCCGCGGUAAUACGAAGGGUGCAAGCGUUACUCGGAAUUACUGGGCGUAAAGCGUGCGUAGGUGGUGGUUUAAGUCCGUUGUGAAAGCCCUGGGCUCAACCUGGGAAUUGCAGUGGAUACUGGGUCACUAGAGUGUGGUAGAGGAUAGUGGAAUUUCCGGUGUAGCAGUGAAAUGCGUAGAGAUCGGAAGGAACAUCUGUGGCGAAGGCGACUAUCUGGGCCAACACUGACACUGAGGCACGAAAGCGUGGGGAGCAAACAGGAUUAGAGACCCCCGUAGUCCCGUCUCUUAUACC
rnacentral:rRNA from 1 species